AUUUAAAUAGCUUAUAUAGAGCGUAAUAUUGAAGAUAUUAAGGAGAUUAAAAUAAUUUUUAAAUA
rnacentral:tRNA from 1 species